rnacentral:rRNA from 1 species
GCAAGUCGAGCGGUAACAGGUGUAGCAAUACAUGCUGACGAGCGGCGAACGGGUGAGUAAUGCUUCGGAAUCUACCCUCUGGUGGGGAAUAACCAGCCGAAAGGUUGGCUAAUACCGCAUACGUCCUACGGGAGAAAGCAGGGGAUCGCAAGACCUUGCGCCGAUGGAUGAGCCGAAGUCGGAUUAGCUAGUUGGUGAGGUAACGGCUCACCAAGGCGACGAUCCGUAGCUGGUCUGAGAGGACGACCAGCCACACUGGGACUGAGACACGGCCCAGACUCCUACGGGAGGCAGCAGUGGGGAAUAUUGGACAAUGGGGGCAACCCUGAUCCAGCGACGCCGCGUGUGUGAAGAAGGCCUGCGGGUUGUAAAGCACUUUUAGUGGGGAUGAAAAGUGCAGAGCUAAUAUCUCUGCAUCUUGACCUAACCCACAGAAAAAGCACCGGCUAACUCUGUGCCAGCAGCCGCGGUAAUACAGAGGGUGCAAGCGUUAAUCGGAAUUACUGGGCGUAAAGCGUGCGCACACGGUCAUGUAA